rnacentral:misc_RNA from 1 species
GGUAGUUCUUUUAUUAGCUAAACAUUUGGCAUCAAAUGGAGGAGAAGUAUGGACAUCCUAUUUGCAGAGAGCCAACUGGACAAGAUAUAGCCUCAAAUUCUCAUCCAUCUGGUGAAGGUUCUAUGUUGACAGAAGAAACAAGAGAUGAUUUGAAAUCUAGUCUUAAUGAGAGACUAGAAAAAGGACAUUUGGAAUAUGGAUGUCCACAUUACCG